GAGUGGUGCGAGGAUGCCUUGCCCUGUCACUGGCCCCGCAAGCUGGCAUCCUGACAGUUGUAGAUAUUUGAUAUGUAUCAGAGCCCAAAAGACCUUCCUAGUGACCCAGAAGGAUGAUCUCGUACAUGGAGAAACGGAAGCCUGGAGACAGAGCUAGACUCGUUCCAGUAAACUGGAUUCCCGAGGGUUUUCUAAAGCUCUGCAUCUAUUUGUUACCAGCGCUGCGACUCUGUCACCCGCCCCUCCCAACUCCAGUUUCCUCACGGACAAGGUGGGUUUAAUAACCUCGCCCAAUGGGAUUCUUUUAGGACUAAGCCUGUAGACCUCAUAACAUGGCCACAGCAAGCCACAGAGGUCAAGCAGGGGCUGACCAGAUACCCGAGGAGCUGUGAGGCAAAGAGAACAAAGUGUGAUGCGCUGGGCAUCU
rnacentral:lncRNA from 1 species